rnacentral:rRNA from 1 species
GACAGAGGUGGCAAGCGUUGUUCGGAUUUACUGGGUGUAAAGGGCACGUAGGCGGCCUGGAAAGUCGGAUGUGAAAUCCUGUGGCUUAACCACAGAACUGCAUUCGAAACUCCCAGGCUAGAGGAUGGGAGAGGAAGAUGGAAUUCCCGGUGUAAGAGUGAAAUCUGUAGAUAUCGGGAGGAACACCAGUGGCGAAGGCGAUCUUCUGGCCCAUAUCUGACGCUCAGUGUGCGAAAGCAGGGGGAGCAAACGGG